rnacentral:rRNA from 1 species
GAUGAACGCUAGCUACAGGCUUAACACAUGCAAGUCGAGGGGAAACGACAUCGAAAGCUUGCUUUUGAUGGGCGUCGACCGGCGCACGGGUGAGUAACGCGUAUCCAACCUGCCCAUCACUUGGGAAUAACCUUGCGAAAGUAAGACUAAUACCCAAUGAUAUCCCACGAAGGCAUCGGAAUGGGAUUAAAGAUUUAUCGGUGAUGGAUGGGGAUGCGUCUGAUUAGCUUGUUGGCGGGGUAACGGCCCACCAAGGCAACGAUCAGUAGGGGUUCUGAGAGGAAGGUCCCCCACAUUGGAACUGAGACACGGUCCAAACUCCUACGGGAGGCAGCAGUGAGGAAUAUGGGUCAAUGGGCGAGAGCCUGAACCAGCCAAGUAGCGUGCAGGAAGACGGCCCUAUGGGUUGUAAACUGCUUUUAUAAGGGAAUAAAGUGGGUCACGUGUGACUUUUUGCAUGUACCUUAUGAAUAAGGACCGGCUAAUUCCGUG